rnacentral:rRNA from 1 species
UACGAAGGGGGCUAGCGUUGCUCGGAAUCACUGGGCGUAAAGGGUGCGUAGGCGGGUUUUUAAGUCAGGGGUGAAAUCCCGGAGCUCAACUCCAGAACUGCCUUUGAUACUGAAGAUCUUGAGUCCGGGAGAGGUGAGUGGAACUGCGAGUGUAGAGGUGAAAUUCGUAGAUAUUCGCAAGAACACCAGUGGCGAAGGCGGCUCACUGGCCCGGUACUGACGCUGAGGCACGAAAGCGUGGGGAGCAAACAGG